rnacentral:rRNA from 1 species
AUUGAACGCUGGCGGAAUGCUUUACACAUGCAAGUCGAACGGCAGCACGGACUUCGGUCUGGUGGCGAGUGGCGAACGGGUGAGUAAUACAUCGGAACGUGCCCAGUCGUGGGGGAUAACGUAGCGAAAGCUACGCUAAUACCGCAUACGAUCUACGGAUGAAAGCGGGGGAUCGCAAGACCUCGCGCGAUUGGAGCGGCCGAUGGCAGAUUAGGUAGUUGGUGGGGUAGAGGCUCACCAAGCCGACGAUCUGUAGCUGGUCUGAGAGGACGACCAGCGACACUGGGACUGAGACACGGCCCAGACUCCUACGGGAGGCAGCAGUGGGGAAUUUUGGACAAUGGGCGCAAGCCUGAUCCAGCCAUUCCGCGUGCAGGAUGAAGGCCCUCGGGUUGUAAACUGCUUUUGUACGGAACGAAAAGGCUCUGGUUAAUACCCGGGGCUCAUGACGGUACCGUAAGAAUAAGCACCGGCUAACUACGUGCCAGCCGCCGCGGUAA